rnacentral:misc_RNA from 4 species
CUACCCCUCAAGCGCGGCUUGUGUGUUGGGCGCUGUCCCUCCCCUUCUUCGGGGGGACAGGCCUGAAAGGCAGUGGCGGCGUCGCGUCCGGUCCUCGAGCGUAUGGGGCUUUGUCACCCGCUCUGUGAGGAUCCGGCCGGGGCCUGUCUCACCCCCAAUCUUCUCUAA